AGGGCCUCUCGGAAGGACGGACGGUUUUCAGACCUCCCCCAUGCUGCAGGGGGUUCUGCUGAGCCUUGGAUGAGUCUUGAUCACAGAAGUAUACUUCAGCUUCAGCAAGACAAGUGGAAGAGGAAGCCCAGCCAACAGUCACACUGGUCCACUCUUCUUUUGAAGAAAUGGGAAGAUCUGAGGGGACUCAGCAGCGUUCACUGUGUACACACCAUCGUGCCCACAAAGAAGGCCCUUGAACUUCAUGUCAAGUUUCUGAGACUCACAGAAGCAGAUCUUGAAACGUAGCCCAUGGGAGUAGAGAGCCUGUGGGAAUGUGGAGUGAGUAGUUAUGUCUCUGGGGUGUCUGAAGUCGCCUGGCAUGGGUCUUGCCUAAUCUCUGUGAGCUCAAAAGCUACUGGGAACUCAAUUACAAUGUGGUAUUUACAUUCUUAUAAAUCCAAAUUACAUCCUGGCAAACAUCCAGCAAAUUCAUUUCUGGAUAAGACAGACAGAUGAAAGUCCCACAUUGUGAGGAGACAUGUCUAAAAUAUUACAAUAAAACCCACUGCAUUUGCAUUAAAAUAUUAGGAUAUUUAUUCCAAAUAUGGUAGCACCAAGAUCCUGUGAUAAACAUGAAAUAGGCAAAGUGGUUGUUUACAUUUCGCCUUCAAUUUUGCAAUAGCAGUGUUUAAAUUUAGUGAUUUUUAAAUUUUUUUCUCCAAUUCAGCUGGCUGUUCCCCUCU
rnacentral:lncRNA from 1 species